CCCCUCUCAGGGUCACACCUGGAGAGUUUCCAGUCCUCUACCAGUCUCGACAAGGGGAGGGAGAGUCAAGCAGGGGCCUGUCCAUUCCAUUCCUAGCUUGGCCUCUGGCUAAUGAGUGGAAGGCAAUCUGCUACAAGU
rnacentral:snoRNA from 1 species